UGUAAACAUCUCUCUCUCUCUCUCUCUCUCUCUCUCUCUCUCUCUCUCUCUCUCUCUCUCUCUAAUUGAAUAGUUUCAUCGAGAAACUAUCCAAUGAAAUGAGAUUGUUGAGAGAGAGAGAGAGAGAGAGAGAAAGAAUGAAUG
rnacentral:misc_RNA from 12 species